GACGAACCGUGCGAACGUUGUUCGGAAUCACUGGGCUUAAAGGGCGCGUAGGCGGUCUGCCAAGUCGGGGUUGAAAUCUUUCGGCUCAACCGGAAAAGUGGCUUCGAUACUGGCAGGCUGGAGGGAGGUAGGGGCGGAUGGAACUUCCGGUGGAGCGGUGAAAUGUGUUGAUAUCGGAAGGAACGCCGGUGGCGAAAGCGGUCGACUCG
rnacentral:rRNA from 1 species